UACGUAGGGUGCAGGCGUUAAUCGGAAUUACUGGGCGUAAAGCGUGCGCAGGCGGUUUCUUAAGUCAGAUGUGAAAUCCCCGGGCUUAACCUGGGAACUGCGUUUGAAACUGGGAGACUUGAGUGUGGCAGAGGGGGGUGGAAUUCCACGUGUAGCAGUGAAAUGCGUAGAUAUGUGGAGGAACACCAAUGGCGAAGGCAGCCCCCUGGGUCAACACUGACGCUCAUGCACGAAAGCUAGGGGAGCAAACGGG
rnacentral:rRNA from 1 species